GGAAUAGUGGUUUGUAAGUCAAGGAAUGUCAUCUAGAUUUCCCACAUUUUACAAAUGGUGAAAGGAAACCUAAAAAUAAAAGUAUUUCCCGAAGAUUGCAGUCAAAAAUAGAAUUUUUUGUUUACGAGUUCAAAUAUCAACUGGACAUAAGGCCAGCAAAGCUAAGUGAGAUAAUCAACCAGCUUGUUUCGACCUCUAUCUACUUACCCCACAGGAAAUUUGUGAGCGCAGCCGUAAACGUUUGGCAAAUGUCGGGGCUUCUCUACAGCAAUUCUUAGCCUCCACCUCAUGGAAACCAGAAAAUGCAGCUGCGAAGAACUACAUCAUUCAGUUCUUAUCAUGGUGAAGAACUGAGUUUGGACCGCGAUAAAAAUAUUGUAAAGGGACGAAGAGCAGGAGAAGAAGAUUAACAUUUAACAGGGAUGAGAGGUGGGAGAGAAAGGGAGAGAGAAGGGAAAUUGCAUGGAAAUGGAAGGAGACCCUCAGGGUUAUACAG
rnacentral:lncRNA from 1 species